AGCAGCAUUGCUUGGUGGAAAGAGCCCGGACUUGGGAGUCAGAGGUCGUGGGUUCGAAUCCCACCUCUGCUA
rfam:Ornithorhynchus anatinus chromosome 4, whole genome shotgun sequence.